CAGGCAGUGCUUGCCUGCUAGCAGCUUCCUAUUGGGUUUUGCUCUUUAAAGGGAGGAAGCACUCACAGAUGGGAGUAGUUCUGGACUCUGAAUCCAACCCCUUGUACCUGCUAGACAGAAUCUCACUCUGCAGUCAAGGCUCAUCUUCCAUCCAUGGUCCUCCUGCCUGAGCUCUCACGCUCUGGGAUGACAGGCAUGCGGCACCGUCACACCUGUCCCAUUUCUUACAGACAAUGCAUAACUGAUGCAUCCACUAAUCCCUAGACUUACCUGGAUUUAACAAGUCCCUGCUUGCCACCUGACACCCACAACCCUCCUUCCUCUCCAAGUUACUUGAGAGGGAAGAGACAGUAUCCUCAUCGAUGCUCCUGUCCUCCCUGCAUCAUGGCUGACAUGCCAUGGCCAGCAGAAGCUUGUGUGAAGCAACCCUGCGUUCCCCUUAGAGCAGUGGUUCAGUGUUUGCUGACUCGGCGCUCAUAGUGACUUUACAGACCAUGACUAUGGCAAGCAUCAUGAAAUGACUGUCCUUACGUGGGAGAGACCCCUGGAAGAUUCACAAGAGGUUGGUAAUACAAAGAAGACAGGGUUGAGAAGAGAGGAGCUCUUCCCUCUAACACCCCUUGUGUUCUGUACCAUACUAAAUCAAUAUCCCAAAUGCUAACAAGAUGGAGAAUGCGCCCUGAGGUCAAGAAGCAACUGCUACCAAAACCCAGCAUAUCAAGUGGCACCAUAGGUCCCCACCCCGCCUUCCCUGCUCUCCACAGUUGUCACAUGUUCACCAAACAUCUCUGCAGAGCAUUUGUCCCUUCUGUCACCUUGCUUUUACUGACCCCAUAUUUCUUGCCAGAAACAUUUGUCCAUCCCCCGCCCCCCUUCACCUAGCAACAGUCUGCUUUUCCUUUAAAUUCUUAAGAUUUCCCUGACUUUCCAACCCAGUGACCUCUCUUCAUUACUGGACUCUUUCCUGUUUCUUGUCACUCACCUAUACACCGCCUGCUCUCGUUGGUUGUAUUUGAAUUUACUGACUCUUCUCAUUCAUUCUUGAGAAAGUUAUUGGGAUCUGUCUUUGAACUCGAGCACUCCCACAAGAUAGUAUUGAUAGAUUAUUGAUUGGUUACCCUUUAUCACUUCCUA